UACGAAGGGGGCAAGCGUUGUUCGGAAUUACUGGGCGUAAAGGGCGCGUAGGCGGUGCUCUAAGUCAGGCGUGAAAGCCCCGGGCUCAACCUGGGAAUGGCGAUGGAUACUGGCUCGCUAGAGUGCGGUAGAGGAGAGUGGAAUUCCUGGUGUAGCGGUGGAAUGCGCAGAUAUCAGGAGGAACACCAAUGGCGAAGGCAGAUCUCUGGGCCGUAACUGACGCUGAGGAGCGAAAGCAUGGGGAGCGAACAGG
rnacentral:rRNA from 1 species